CGGGGCUGCGAGCCGCGCCCUAGGGCCGCGCCCCGGGCCGGGCCGGUGAGCAGGGACAGCACGGAGUCGUUAGAGGUGGAAGGGACCUCUGGGGAUCAUCGGUCCUAAGCCUCCUGCCAAGGCAGGGUCACAUGGAGCAGGAGAAUUUAGCAGAGAAGCAAAAUGCAGAAGGCUUUCAGACAACCAGUACAGAAUGCUGCAGGGAUUCUGGCUGCUCAUUGCCUUUCCACAGGAAUGCAUUACACACUAAGAUCCUCGUUUUGGGCUGCCAGUUUUGAGAACAGUUUGCAAAGACUGUGAUGAUGCAAGUUCUGAAUGAGUCCCUGGAGAUGACAAGAACUGUCUCAGUUUACUUUUGGUGAUGCUGACAUUGGUUUGCUCGGUUCUUUCCAUGCUUCUGGCAUAGGUGACUCCUGUUACUUGCUGCUUGAAAUGGGAAUUUGAAGAUCACCUUCACUUCAAAUUGUUUGCCUGGUUGGAGUGAUAACUGGAGAUCUCUACUUCAAAAUUCAGGGAGUCUUUGCAGUAGGUUAGUGAUAACUUUUUGCCUUCCAGCUCACUGCAGGAGCAGCCCAGCGAGGUUCUCAUAAAUUACAACAGGAAUUACUGAAUAGACAUGUUGUUUCCCUCUAGCAGUAUAUUCCACAGUACACUAUUCUUGUACAGAGUGGUGCAGUAUCUGGUUUACCACCAUUAGCUUUGUAUGAGGUGAAGGAGCCUGUGUUUACUACCAAAUGAAAGGAAAGCAUACACAAUUCUCCUUUUAAUUAAGCUUAGCCCUAUAAACUAUGAAAAGGGUUUUAUAUUAAGGCCAAAGUUCUAUUGUCGAGCAAGCAGGCUUCUAUUGUGCAUACUGCCAAGGAGAGAUAACAGGGCUCUUAUACGCUCAGAAAUUUGUCCUGCCAAGUGAGCAGCAGGUUUGUCUAAAACAUACCCAGCAUGUGCUGCCAGCCAGAGAAGGUUUGAACUUCACAUUGAUUUUUCUCAUUAAAUCUGCAGGCAGUGAAUGCACGUUGAUGGGUGCUUCCUCUGGUUACAGAAGACCCAAACAUGAACCUUCCAAACAAGGCUCAAAUGAAAAUUUUCAAAUGAAAAUGCAUCUAUCCAUCCUGACCUUACGGUAGUUUAGGCAGUGAGAAGAGUGACUGUAGCCAGCUUGUGGUGUCACUCCUGUCUUUUUGUCUGCAUCAGUGGAACUGGGUGUUCAUUAGGAACAAUCAUGAGGCAACUGCAAAGGAGAAAUUAAAACCCAAUUGUAAACCAGGUGGUGACAGAGGAGACAUGUCUUAGUCUUUAGUCUUACAUACUAAAGUUGAUUCAUUUGUUUAGGUUUAACAGUGUGAGGGAUAUUAGCAUUCCUAAAAGAAAACAGGAAAAUAAUAGGAGAGAGGAAUUUCAGAGGAAGAAAAAUCUGAUUAUUUUGAUGAUGAGAAAGAAAUUCUCAUCAAUCAAAAAAAAAUCUACAGCAUAAAAAAGAGAGUUCCUUUUUUUCCCCUUUUGUUUUGGUUCUGCUUUUUCAAUAACAUUUUUGUGUGUUGAAAUGAGUUUACGUUUGAGAGUGUGACCUCCCCUCUUCUCAUCACUUGUCUAAACAACCUUGAAAUGCGGAGGAUGUUUGAUAUAAAUUCCAAAUUCCCUUUUUGGGUUUAUGUCCUUUAUGAGGAUAAAUUAAUCCUUAAAGAAACCUGCCAUUUUGCAAAGUUUUGACCACACAAUUUAUAAUUAUUACUGUUAAUGAUGAUGGCAUUUUUUAUUUCAGGACAACCCUUUGCUUAAUAAUUAUUCCAAUUUCCUUGUACAGCAGCAUUAGUACUGCCUUGUUUAUGGACUCAGAAUAACACAGAUAAUCUGAGUUUGUUCAAACCUAAAAAGAAAUGAGAAAUUAGCUUUUUAAUAUAUAUUAAUGAAAUAUUUUACAAGGGGGAAAAGAAUGCAGUACUUGAUCAACAGCUUUGAUUUUCUAAUGAGGAGUAAUAAUAUAGUAAAUGCUUCAAAUUAGCAAUAACUUGUCAGGAUCUUAACUGCACCAAGAGGUGCUGAUUACCCUGACAUAACUAAUAGCUAAGAAACUAUCUUGAGGAGCAGAAACUGGAAAUAUGCACAAUGCAGCCUAUUGUAUCAGUUCAGCUAUUUUACCCUCCUUCUCAAUCAGUUCCUGUGGUUUCUUUAAAGAUUAUGGGUGCUCCUGCAGUACACCAGGAGGCUUUAGAAGUUAUUUUAGGGCAAUUAAAUGCAAAAGAAAAGGUCUAUACUAGGUCUACACUCUAAGGGUCUGCAGACAUACCUUCAUCACACAUAGACCAUGGAAUAAUAUAUCUCAUUUUCACAGUUAGAAAAAUUUUAAGAAUAGAUGAGAAUAAAAAAGUAAUAGAGUAGUAAGUUGUGAAGGUGUAGCUUAAAAAGAACUACCACUAGUUAUCUUCAGCAAAGGAAUCAGCAAAGUGAAGGUAUCUCUGCAGAGCAACCUUAAAGAGAAGCUACCAUGGUCAUAAUCUUUCUUAUGAUAUCAGGAGGGUGGUAAAAUGAAUUAGAAAAUACAUCUGAUGCUCUGGCAUAGACAAAAUAUCAUUUCACCAAAACCCAGAAGCAGUCAGAAAUCUCAUUUUGGUGUUAGAACAUAUUAAAAAAAAUUCUAAUUCAACUCUUCAAGCCUUGGUUGAAGUGAGUUUGAGCUAGUAGUGCCAAGUAAUCUCUUUCAGUAUGACAGGUGGCUGGAAUGGCGAUGUGGUCCCUGACCCCUGAUCCAGGUGUUCACGCAGUCAUUAGCAAGGGAAGAGCAGAGCCUGUGAGCAAUUUGGACUUUAUGUGAGCCACUGUUCUUGACUUAACUCCUGAGCAUGUGUCUUGACUGUAAUUUCUCUUCUAAAAAAGCUCAGAUGAACUGCAUCUUGGUGGGAAUAUCUCCUUUGGCUCCCACACGGAGAAUGGGAGCACUUGGUCAUCUGGGUGACCUAGAUCAUUGCAAUCCAAUAGCCUGAAAAGUAAGGAAAUCAGAACACUAGAAAUAAGAAAGGAUCUGGGAAACUGGGUCCCAAAUGAUUUGCACAGAGGAUGGGGAAAAAAUGUAACUACUGUCUGGCUUUAUCCUGCAGGAAGGGAAGGUUAACAAUCCUGUGGGGGUUCAAGGACUUCCAUCCAGAUGCAGAACUGCCUGGGUGUGUUAUCCCACAGCAACAGAAUGUUCAUAAUCUCUUAUUUAUUCCUGCAUGGGAGCAAGGACAUAAAGAUGUCUUUGAGGAGGACACCUGUGGCACACCUAUUCUUGGAUUUGUCACCCAUAAAAUAAGCUCACACUGAGGGCAGGUUGAUUGGUUUAUCUAGUCCAAGGGAAUAAGUAUGAUAGGUGAGUAAUCAGGCUCAGUGUACAUAAGCUGUGUUAGUGGCCUAUCAGGAGUGAAAUGUGGAAGAAAAAAGAAUGCAGAGAUUUUUGAAGAUAAGAUUACCUAAAUCCUACCUUAAAGCAAGACAUGCUACUCCCUGCUCUUAUCUUCAUGAAGGAUCUGUCUGCAGAUCAAAGAAACAAAAUCGUGCUUCAGCUUCCUUUCUUCAAGAUAAGCCAAAUUUUCAUUGCCUGUCCUCUAACAUGCACUGGCAUGCUGUACACUGCUUGCUUUUGUAUUUGCUUAUCAAAAGGUAUCAUGAGAUAAUUAAUGCAUAUAAGCUAGAGCUUUCCAGAAGAAAGAUUUUUUCCCUUUAUUCUCAAGUUCUUAAUAUCCCAAAGUUUUGUUCCAUGACCAUUCUGAGAACUUAUUUUUCAUGGGUAGCUGAAGGACACCACAGCAAGCACGCCUUCUAUUUCAUCUAUUUCCCACUGAGGCAAAUUACAAACUAAAAUCUUCCCUGUGUAUUUAAUCUAAUAUAAAUCUUAAAAUACAAUUGAGGGAAAGGAUGCAAUACAUUAUUUAAAGCUAAUUCAUUAACCUAUAGGUUAAUAGCAUUCAUACCCUUAAAAAAAUCACAGUUGGUAGGAAAUUCUGGGAGCAAAAUAACAUCUUUGGAAUAUUAGUUCUCUAUACAGGGGUCUUGCAAAACAGCAGACUACUUUUCAAAGGAAAAGGUGGAGAGCCCUCUGAAAACAUUGUAUGUGCAGUGAUUCCUGUACUGAAUCCUUUCCAGCGCUAGGGGCAGACCUAGAGCCCUUUUAGCUCCUGUUAGUGGGAGAGUUCACCCUGUGUGUGUGAGUCCUGCAAGCUCCUUCUCCUCCAUAAAACUCUUCCUUGUGCAUCCACAGCCUUCCUUUCGCUAGUUUUCCUGACAUUUCAAUAAGCUACCUCACAAAUGCAUCAGUUUUGCCAAGAAAGCAGUUAGGACUAGGCAGGGCCAGAUUACAAGGUGGUUAUGCCCUCCAAGUGCAUCUGAGUGGAGAAAGCAGGGAUAAGGCAGAAUACUCUGUUCCUAGUGUUUACCAGGCAGUAUAUGAUUAAAAUAGAUGUAAUUCUUGAUCAAAAAAGAAUCAAACAUAAUAUAUUUAAACAGGUGUUUCAUAAAUGUCAACAGCUUGAUUUUUAAUAAUGGAACUGAGGACAGAAUUAUCCCUCCUACCAGUAUGAAGCCCUCUAAGCAGGGCUCAGUUUCUCAAUGUUAGAGCUCCUUGUUCUCAGUACGAGUGGCUUCUUAGUCUCAGAAACAAAAUCAGCACUGUGGAUUUCAAAAUACUGUCUGGAAGGAGAUGCAAACAGGAACAGUGCAGAGAGGGUGAGGUACAUGCAUGCAAAUGUACAAUCACACCAUACCCAGCUCAGUAUGCUUAUGGAUGCCCAGUCACCAGCAAAAUUGCAUUUAAGUAAAAAUGUUGCAGCCAUUCUGUUAGGGAACAGAUAGAAUUUUCUUCUGCGUUGCAACUGCAGACAAUGUGCCUUUAAAUCAAUGUUAUUUUUAUUAAUUUUAUUAGUUUUCCUGCCUUUUACUUCCAAGAAGUCUGACUGUAGUCUCACUGCCAACGGAAUUGCUGAGGGUGAGGGAUGCAGAUUUUUUAGUUUUACUUUAAUGUUUUCAAAGGGGGGGUUCACUGGAAUAAAUGACAGUUGGAAAUACACUGAGGUUCUCAUGGGCUAAAUCCAUCUUCAUUCAGAAAGAAGAUUUCCUGUAUGCUGUGCUUGACAAACAUAUUACACUAAAUCAGUACCCUGAUCCCACCCAAAUUCCAAUACCACUGUGCAUACUUUGUCUGUCUUACUUUAUGAAUCACUCAAUAAAACACACCCAGUUCAAGAUUUUAUUGGCAAUGUUGCAGUGUACGUACAUUAAAUCUCAUUUUAGACAGAAACCUUGGAACCUGGAAUAUUGCCAGUGCUUGAAUCCAAGAAGAAUUUGAAAUGCAUAAUGUAAAGCUUCUUAAUAUACCUGACACCCCUUAACUGUUCCCACAGUUAAAAAAUAUUACAGCUUACAUUUGUAUCUCAACCAGGCACCCAGGAGGUCAAGCCCUAUAUGAUGAUAGAAAAGGAAAUAAUCAUUUUUAUAUCAAGUGAGCAAAGCUGAUUUGGAAAUUAUUGAGAGCUCAGUCAGGAGCUGCUUUAGGGCUGUAAUUGCUCUUUCUCAUCUUAGCUAAUUUAAUUAAACAGAGAAACUAUUUUUGGACCAGACAGCUCUUUAAACUUUUGGUAGCUUCUAUUACAAACCAUCUGGCCCCGUACACAGUUAGAUUUCUUAACUCAUACUUUAUUCACUGUCUUCCUCAGAAAUUGUACGUGGGGCUUUGUGUGUAUUUGUAUUCCCUCUAGUUUUGUGUCCGUUUAUUUCAGAUAAAAAACCUAAUUAUGUGGAUUCCCUCCCAGUUCAAGAGAUAAAAACCAGCACGUGUCAAGAACCAUCAUUCAGUUCUUCUCUUUAUUUUGGGUAGGUUUUUGGUGGUUGUUUCCUCUGUUAUAUAAUCCUUUCCUCAUAGUCUGUAAUCCUUUUCUAACACUGCAAAUAAGAUAAGCAUUUAGUCUUUUCAGAUGUUGUCAGCCUCCACUUUGAGAGGAACAACAGUUUUAGUUUUAAUUAUUUCUUCAGUGAAAGGACUUCUGCUGUAUUUUGCAUUUAUUUAACUAAUCUCCAAAUGUUGUGCUACAGUUUGUCCAUACCUCUGUCUACACGAAGUGUAAUUACACAGUUGCUGAUUGGGUUGGAGCAGAAACAGAAUGAGUUCACAUCUGCCCUCAAAAGACUGAACAAACACACACAUCUGAAGGCUGCCUCCUCCAGAGGUCUAAAAUACACGUGUGUAACUGACCCUGAAAUUCAGUGUUCUUCCUGCGAGAGCCAGGGUUAUCUAAACAAAGGGUUCUUAGGAAGUAACCUCUCGACUUCUCCACCCCUCACAUUUUUAAGGAUUGACAGGUCCUAGCAAUUGCAAAGACCGGGAUAACAAGCCAUGUCCCAAAACAAUCAUUCUCCUGACAUGCUUCCCACUGGCACCUACCACCCUUCAGAUCAGCAGAAAAAGAGCUUGGCUGCCUGCAUAGGCAUGUACCCAGUCCUCCCUGACUAAAUGGAUUACACCGUUGUUGGCUGAAUAGGCUGCCAAGACAACUUCCAGCCAGCUUGUAUUCAUGUGGGUUAUGAAAGAGUGCUACUCCUGAGUCAGACCAAAGUCCAGUUAAAAUAUGACAAAGGUGCCAGACUCCACUUCUGCCAGGAUUUAGGUUUUGUUUCUGUUUUAUUUUGGAAAAAUGCAACAUGAGUAUAAGAAAUUAAGCAAGAAGGUUCAAAAACUGUCAACAAGAUCAGAAUUAAAUGUGCUGUACACAGCAGCUUACUGAGAGGAGUUUGGGAUGGAGGAGAGUGGGGAGAACCGGGACUGAAGUAAGAAAAGAAAGGAUCUUAGGAAGGGACCAGUUGGAGAGAUGUGAAAUUCAAGGAAAAGGAGGUUUGGGAGCAGUGAUAAUUCAGUCCCAUUUGUCCCUUUGAGAUAAUGUUUUGGGAUCCCAAUAACUCAUCUCUGGUUCAGAAGAAUGUGAGCCAUCAGCUUCUAUGUGCCAAUAUCUAAGUAGAUCUAAAGAGAUGCAAAUUUAGACUCAGUAGACCAGGAAGCAAAGGAGUGAAUAAAUGCAAAUAUAUUAAUCUGAAUAUCAGGCUAGGUAUUUCCAGGCAGGGAUUAGUUGGGUGGGGAAGGGAGACUGUGUGGGCUGAGGAAAGGCUGGAGAGCCUGGCUGGCCCAAGGGCUAAUCUGACAGAGAGGGUCUGGCCUGGCACACAACUGAGAGCUGGCACAUUAGGAACCAUACAUUAGAUUGCUACUGUCAUAUAUGUAAUGGCAUCAGAUGGCAAAAAAUAGCACAGAUUUUUUUUUUGCUGCAUUUUAUUUUAUGCACUAAUUGCCAUCUCAGGCCUCAAGCUGUGUCAAACACAUCACUUUGCUUCUUUUGUUCUCUGUUUCUUUACCUGUAAAAUGAGAAUAAUUUAUUUCCUUUCAAAAUGAUUUGGAGAUCUAAGAUGAAGGGUUGGGGGAUAAAUGUACCUACUACAAUAGCAUCACAGCUGCAUAUAUAAAGGGUUGCUAGAAUUUCUUGAAAUUGCCAAGAUUCACCCCUUUUUUCUCUUAUCAAAGCAAACAAAACCAAAAUAUCAAACCAAAUACAAACAAACAAAUGCUUACCCCCUCAAAAAAGAAACAAACAAACAAAAACACUAAAACACACACAAAAAAAUCAAGAAAUUAUCCCCCAGGCAAUUCAGUGAGGAGAAGAUUCAGUUUCUUGUUGCUCAGUCUUGUUCUCUUCUGAUAUGACAGUGAGAUAGACACCUCUGAGAACCAGGAAAUUCAGAGCUAAGGUAGAGCAGUACAACCUGAACUCUGUGUUGUUUGAUCACUGAUUCACUCUUCCUGUAACAUACAUAUGCAUGACACCACGACUCCUGAAGGAAAACUUUCUUUUAAGUGUUCUUAAAGGAAAACCUCUGUCCAGGUGAGUGCUGCUAAAUGAGGAAUCCUGCACAUAUGCUGCAAACUCUGAGACCCAUCUCCUUGAAACAGCCUCUGAUGCAGUAAUUCUUUGUGUUCUUUCACUGUCAGCUUCAGCACCUGAAGGGUCAGAUACAGAGACUUUCACGUCACUGCUACUGAGAUGACAGAUCACUCUUUCUUUGGUCUUUGGCCAAAGGACUUGUGGAUAUCACCACUGAUCAUGGUCUGAAUUGAAAAAUCAGGCAUCAGGACUUGUCUCCUCACUUCCAUGCUUCUCUUCCUUUUGUCCACAUGGUUGCUAUCUCCAUGCCACCAGUGUAAGAGAUUUGCUUGCAAGUUAAUGCAAAGAGCCACUGAAAGUUCCCGGAGCAGCCUUAAUUCUGCACUGGGAUGUGGGUAUUUCCUAGUUUUAAGAGGUUUGAGCGUCACUUGAACUUGCCACAGAAUUUGCUGCUGACCUGGAAUGACACGAGGAACCCACAAGGCAAACUUUAUAUUAACCAGGCUCUUUGUCAGCAAAUUUAUGUGUUAAUUUAUUCAUGAUUGGCAUAAUGUGUGUUUAAAAUCCUUCUGCAAGGCCUUCUCUGAGAGCAGUGGUAGCUGAACUUUAACGCAAAGGUUUGCCAGUAGUCACCAGCUCAAACUCUUGCCCAGGAAACGUGAUGCACAUUAAAAACGUGCCUCAAUGCACGUAAAAUUUAAAAACUUUUGCAACCUCAAGGAGUAUAGAUAUAUUAAAAAAACCCAACCCAAACCAAACAAAACCCCACCCCUCUCCAGUAUUUUUAUUGGUGAGGGAAAAAAAAAACAAGAGUAGGGAAGGGAAGAAAAAGAAAGGGAAAUGGAAAGGGAAAGGGAAAGGGAAAGGGAAAGGGAAAGGGAAAGGGAAAAGAGAAGAAAGGAAAUAUUUUAUGAUGAACACUUCUUUUUCGCAGAAAUGCUUUACUAUAUUUUCAAAUGCAAAUUGACUGCAAAUCACAGACUUCAGCCAGUGGGUUUUUGUAUGUAUCCAUACAUAUUAAAGGUAUGUGUGUGCUUAUGUGUGUAUAUGUAUCUUAAUUUGUAUAUUUAGUGGUGGGCCAAAUUUGGUUAAACACUCUGUAAAGAACAAAACAAUGGUCCAGAAAGCAAAGAGCAAAUGGUUGAACCAUCAAGGACAACACAUGCAGGCAGAUGGAAUCCUGGGGGUGGCCAAAAAGAUGAUGAGUCAGGAUUACUCAAGAGGAUAAGCAGUGGCCUUUGUGCACCAGCAGUCUAACCCUGAUCCAUUUCUUGAUAGGCUUUACAGGAAAAGAGAGUUUGGAGCAAUCCAAAGGAGGAUAGAGAGAUCCUGUGCAGAUAUUUAUGGGAAGCUCUUCCCACACAUGAAUGUAGCCUGGGAGAAAUGCAAAGCAAGUUAAUAUAUGGACAUUGAAAGCUGACACUAUCUGAUCAGACCUGCUUCUUCAAGCAAAUGAGCAAAAAUAGAUAAUAAUACCUUAGAUAAUAAAUAAAAACACAUGGGUGAGUUCCAUGUGCAGCAGUGUUUUUGAGCCUGAGGUCCUUAAACCCGGAACAGUUUUAAUUGAAAAGAUGUCACAAAUCAAAGUACAGAAUUGUUGUUGCAAGUAUGUCUAGGUGGAUGUUGGGUAUCUUGUGUUUAAUGUGCCAGUUUGAAAGGAUUUAUGUAGUACCUUAUGUAAAUACUAUACUUUUACUUGAUGGAAAUGUCUUGCUGAUUGCUAUGGACUUUUUUGAGAUAUAUCAUGUAGAUAACAAUGCAGGUGUCUUUUAUCACUUGCAAAGGUGUCUUUUAUCACAAGAAUAAAAGUCAAGUCUUCCUUUUGUAUCCUUCCAUCCCUGCUUGAAGCAGUGGUGAAGCGUUUGUAGUGUGAGAAUGUGAGUUUAUCAUUCUUCAGUUCUUUACUUCCCAGUACCUGUAAGGGUACUUAGGCUGACUAUGAGAAGUCCAGCACAAAAUCUGCUAGAAUGUUUUGGCAGGUGUUAUAUUACUUGCUCCUUAACACGUCUUGUCUAAUAAAAGAAGUCUGUCGUGAAAAUUUUC